rnacentral:rRNA from 1 species
UUAACUGGAGGGAAGGUGGGGAUGACGUCAAGUCAUCAUGGCCCUUACGGCCAGGGCUACACACGUGCUACAAUGGUCGGUACAAAGGGUUGCCAAGCCGCGAGGUGGAGCUAAUCCCAUAAAACCGAUCGUAGUCCGGAUCGCAGUCUGCAACUCGACUGCGUGAAGUCGGAAUCGCUAGUAAUCGUGAAUCAGAAUGUCACGGUGAAUACGUUCCCGGGCCUUGUACACACCGCCCGUCACACCAUGGGAGUGGGUUGCUCCAGAAGUAGCUAGUCUAACCGCAAGGGGGACGGUUACCACGGAGUGAUUCAUGACUGGGGUGAAGUCGUACAAUGAGGCCUGCCC